rnacentral:lncRNA from 1 species
GUUCUUGGAAGAAGCAAUCCUUGCAUGCAGGAGAGAGAAGCUUUCCAUGCAAUUUAGUUUCUGAUUUUCGUCACUUUUCUUGGACAGCAAAAAAACCACUUGAUUUUGAUUUUUCUUGGGCUUGUAACUCCAUAAAAUGGGCUGGACAUGUUACCUAACAUCAUGGGUUGAUUUCUAAAUAUUUUCCUUGUCCAUAACUUCAUAAAUCAGCCCACGAUCACAUCAUACUCCUCCUAUUCAAAACCAUUUGUCCUAAAAUCUUGCUCUAUGGAGAAAGAAAACUUGAACACACACUUCCAAAAGAUCUAGAAGAUUUGUUGAACAUAAAUGUAUAAAACUUUUUUUUCUUUGUAGAAGAUGGAUAGAUAAGAAUGAUGGAUAUAGAAGUGAAUACCAAUCUCAAAGUGUUGCUUUGAUACCAAAUGACCAAAACCUCCUGAGGAGUCGACACUCUAAGUUGGUAAAGGGGAUAAGCCCUGCUGCUAUGGAACGUAAAGCUUCAAAGACAAGGGAUGUGGAGUGAAUGGUCCCACGAAUGAUGCAGAAGGCCUUCAAUAUUCCAACUCAAUGCUCUAGGAUAUGACGCACCUAGACGACAAUGAGAAUGAUUCCCUGGAUAUCACGCACCAAGACAAAUCGAAAAAAUCAAUGGAUAUUACACACCAUUGAAAGAAAAGUGAGAGUUCCAAAAAUAAUCACUCAAAAGCUUAUUUUAUUUCAUUAGAGAUUACAACUUAUUUAUAGGAAACUUAACUUGUUGAGAAAGCUAGAUAAUUAAUACAUAGGAAAUCACAAAACAGUGCAUGGAGGAGGGAGAAAGUUCUUGGAAGAAGCAAUCCUUGCAUGCAGGAUAGAGUACCUUUCCAUGCAAUUUAGUUUCUGAUUUUCGUCACUUUUCUUGGACAACAAAGAAACCACUUGAUUUUGAUUUUUUUUGGGACUGUAACUCCAUAAAAUGGGUUGGACAUGUUACCUAACAUCAUGGGUUGAUUUCUAAAUAUUUUUCAUGUCCUGAACUUUAUAAAUAAGCCCAAGAUCACAUCAUACUCCUCCUCUUCAAAA